rnacentral:lncRNA from 1 species
UAGGAGACGACUCUCUAUGCAAGGCAUGGCUCCAUAUUUCUUUCAUAACCUGGUGCAGCCCUGAUCUGUCUUUGAACUCUGCUCCUCCUGCUUCCCAGUGUUUGCUGGACAGCCCCCGCCCUGGGCACCUGUUUUCUUCACACCCGCCAGCAGGUUGGUAAGCUUCUCAGAUGCAGUGAUGGUGGCCAGGAAGGAACGGUGAAUGAAAUAGUCUAGUGAACGGAGGACACAGACGUCUUGGCCACAGUCUCAGCUUCCCUUGGUAAAAAGCUGCCUCCAAAGGCCUUGUGCAUUGGAGCCUAGAGGCCCCGGGAGCCUUCCCCGAGAGCCCAUCCCGGGCCAUCCCCGGAAAGCACCACACAGGGUAAGAGGAAGAGAACACCCAAACCCUAAGUAGUCCUUC